rnacentral:rRNA from 1 species
ACUCCUGCGGGAGGCAGCAGUGGGGAAUAUUGCACAAUGGGCGCAAGCCUGAUGCAGCCAUGCCGCGUGUAUGAAGAAGGCCUUCGGGUUGUAAAGUACUUUCAGCGGGGAGGAAGGCGAUAAGGUUAAUAACCUUGUUGAUUGACGUUACCCGCAGAAGAAGCACCGGCUAACUCCGUGCCAGCAGCCGCGGUAAUACGGAGGGUGCAAGCGUUAAUCGGAAUUACUGGGCGUAAAGCGCACGCAGGCGGUCUGUCAAGUCGGAUGUGAAAUCCCCGGGCUCAACCUGGGAACUGCAUUCGAAACUGGCAGGCUAGGGUCUUGUAGAGGGGGGUAGAAUUCCAGGUGUAGCGGUGAAAUGCGUAGAGAUCUGGAGGAAUACCGGUGGCGAAGGCGGCCCCCUGGACAAAGACUGACGCUCAGGUGCGAAAGCGUGGGGAGCAAACAGGAUUAGAAACCCGUGUAGUCCCAUGA